rnacentral:rRNA from 1 species
AACAAACGCUGGCGGCGUGCCUAAUACAUGCAAGUCGAACGGGGAAAGCUUUCGGGUGAGUACUAGUGGCGCACGGGUGAGGAACGCGUGGAUAAUCUGCCUUAGAGUGGGGGAUAACUAGUCGAAAGAUUAGCUAAUACCGCAUAAGACCACGAGAGCUGCGGCUUUUGAGGUCAAAGGUUUUUCGCUCUAAGAUGAGUCCGCGUAAGAUUAGCUAGUUGGUGAGGUAACGGCUCACCAAGGCGACGAUCUUUAACUGGUCUGAGAGGAUGAUCAGUCACACUGGAAAUGAGACACGGUCCAGACUCCUACGGGAGGCAGCAGUAGGGAAUAUUGCACAAUGGAGGAAACUCUGAUGCAGCGAUGCCGCGUGAGUGAUGAAGGCCUUCGGGUCGUAAAGCUCUGUCGCAGGGGAAUAACACAAUGAAGGUACCCUGUAAGAAAGGAUCGGCUAACUUCGUG